rnacentral:rRNA from 1 species
CGGCCCUAAACAUGCAAGUCGAGCGGAUGAAAGGAGCUUGCUCCUGAAUUCAGCGGCGGACGGGUGAGUAAUGCCUAGGAAUCUGCCUGGUAGUGGGGGACAACGUUUCGAAAGGAACGCUAAUACCGCAUACGUCCUACGGGAGAAAGCAGGGGACCUUCGGGCCUUGCGCUAUCAGAUGAGCCUAGGUCGGAUUAGCUAGUUGGUGAGGUAAUGGCUCACCAAGGCGACGAUCCGUAACUGGUCUGAGAGGAUGAUCAGUCACACUGGAACUGAGACACGGUCCAGACUCCUACGGGAGGCAGCAGUGGGGAAUAUUGGACAAUGGGCGAAAGCCUGAUCCAGCCAUGCCGCGUGUGUGAAGAAGGUCUUCGGAUUGUAAAGCACUUUAAGUUGGGAGGAAGGGCAGUAAAUUAAUACUUUGCUGUUUUGACGUUACCGACAGAAUAAGCACCGGCUAACUCUGUGCCAGCAGCCGCGGUAAUACAGAGGGUGCAAGCGUUAAUCGGAAUUACUGGGCGUAAAGCGCGCGUAGGUGGUUCGUUAAGUUGGAUGUGAAAUCCCCGGGCUCAACCUGGGAACUGCAUCCAAAACUGGCGAGCUAGAGUAUGGUAGAGGGUGGUGGAAUUUCCUGUGUAGCGGUGAAAUGCGUAGAUAUAGGAAGGAACACCAGUGGCGAAGGCGACCACCUGGACUGAUACUGACACUGAGGUGCGAAAGCGUG